rnacentral:rRNA from 1 species
UACGGGGGGUGCGAGCGUUGUCCGGAUUCACUGGGCGUAAAGGGCGCGUAGGCGGCUGACUCAGUCAGACGUGAAAUCCCUCGGCUUAACCGGGGAACUGCGUCUGAUACUGGAUGGCUUGAGGUUGGGAGAGGGAUGCGGAAUUCCAGGUGUAGCGGUGAAAUGCGUAGAUAUCUGGAGGAACACCGGUGGCGAAGGCGGCAUCCUGGACCAAUUCUGACGCUGAGGAGCGAAAGCCAGGGGAGCAAACGGG